CGCCCCGGGAUUUAAAGGGCCCGCUCCGCUGCGCCGCCCUGGGAGCCACUGCUGGUCCCGGCCUUGCGGCCUGCGGGGGAGGCUGCCCGGAGGAGGUGGCGACGGUGGCAGCAUUGCGCGUCCCCGGCCCCCAGGACCACGGCUUCCUUUCUGCCAGAUCCAUCUGUCCAUCCAUUUGUGUGGGUCCACAAUGGCCACCUUCAGCCGCCAGGAAUUUUUCCAGCAGCUACUGCAGGGCUGUCUCCUGCCUACUGUCCAACAGGGCCUUGACCAGAUCUGGCUGCUCCUUACCAUCUGCUUCGCCUGCCGCCUCCUUUGGAGGCUGGGGUUACCGUCUUACCUGAAGCAUGCAAGCACCGUGGCAGGUGGCUUCUUCAGCCUCUACCACUUCUUCCAGCUGCACAUGGUUUGGGUCGUGCUGCUGAGUCUCCUGUGCUACCUCGUGCUGUUCCUCUGCCGACACUCCUGCCACCGAGGCGUCUUCCUCUCCAUCACCAUCCUCAUCUACCUGCUCAUGGGUGAGAUGCACAUGGUGGACACCGUGACAUGGCACAAGAUGCGAGGGGCCCAGAUGAUCGUGGCCAUGAAGGCGGUGUCUCUGGGCUUCGACCUGGACCGGGGCGAGGUGGGUGCAGUGCCCUCACCUGUGGAGUUCAUGGGCUACCUCUACUUUGUGGGCACCAUCGUCUUUGGGCCCUGGAUAUCCUUCCACAGCUACCUACAGGCUGUCCAAGGCCGCCCACUGAGCCGCCGAUGGCUGAAGAAGGUGGCCCGGAGCCUGGCGCUGGCCCUGCUGUGCCUUGUACUGUCCACUUGUGUGGGCCCCUACCUCUUCCCUUACUUCAUCCCCCUCGACGGUGAUCGACUCCUUCGCAACAAGAAACGCAAAGCCAGGGGCACCAUGGUAAGGUGGCUACGAGCCUACGAGAGUGCUGUCUCCUUCCACUUCAGCAACUAUUUUGUGGGCUUUCUGUCUGAGGCCACAGCCACAUUGGCCGGGGCUGGCUUCACGGAGGAGAAGGACCACCUGGAAUGGGACCUGACAGUCUCUAGACCAUUGAAUGUGGAGCUGCCCCGGUCCAUGGUGGAAGUUGUCACAAGCUGGAACCUGCCCAUGUCUUAUUGGUUAAAUAACUAUGUUUUCAAGAAUGCUCUCCGCCUGGGGACCUUCUCAGCCGUGCUGGUCACCUAUGCUGCCAGUGCCCUCCUGCAUGGCUUCAGUUUCCAUCUGGCUGCUGUACUGCUGUCCCUGGCAUUUAUCACAUAUGUGGAACACGUCCUCCGAAAGCGCCUGGCUCAAAUCCUCAGUGCCUGCAUCUUGUCGAAGCGAUGCCUGCCAGACUGUUCACAUCGGCAUCGCUUGGUGAGAGUUCAUCAUGGGUAACCUUGUCCUCAACACUGCCCUUCCAAAAUGUCACUUCUGUCUCCAUCUUGUAUCUGUCUCCGGGUGCCCAGCCUCCUCUUCUGGUGCCUGAGCCAUCCCUAAAACCUCGCCUCUAUUCACUGGCAUCUGUUUCUCUAACAGGCAUUUAUUGAGCACCUGCUGUAUACACACCUGGCAUUCGUUCCCCCACUGAACAUUUAUUGAGCACCUGCUGGUUCUAGGUGCUGGAGACAAAGUGGUGAACAAAGCAGGCCAAAGUCCUGGCCCCGUGGGACAAAGAUUUUAAGUGGGGAGACAGUAAAGUCAGUUAAGGCUAAUACUAGUUUGUCAGGUUGUGAGUAGCGCUUAGCACAAGGGAAAGGGGAUGGGAAUUAUGGCGGUGGUGGUUUCCCUUUUUAUCGGGAAGAUCAGGAAAGCCUCCAUGGGUGAGGCAACUUGUGAGUUCUUUAAGUAAAGGAGGUAAGGGAGGGGAGCAUCUCAGGAAAAGGGGAUACUCAGUGUAAAGUCCCAUGCCAACAUGGGAAUCUUGGAGCAACCGUGAGGAGGCCAGUGUGGCUUGAGCAGAGAGUGCUGGGGAGAGGGAAAGACGGGCCCUCUAGGUCAGGGCGGCAUUUGUUUCGGUUUUGUUGUUGUUUUCAUUCUGUUUGCCAUAAGAAAUGCAGACAACCUCAUAUUUGUCUCCCACCCGGCAACGAUGCUCAUCACCAUAACCCCUGGCUCAAAGCCCCAUCAUUCUUGCUCCUCUGCCUGAACGCUCGCAUCUCCCCCAACCUGGACGCCCUCGUGGUUACCAACACUCUCGUCCUUGGAUACCUCUGAGCUCCCAUAAGAGGCUCCUUGAACCAUCUCUUUCCUAUCUCGGGGGCCUGGGGGUACGAGCCUUAAACUUGCUCUUUGGGGCCCUGGCUAUCUUCCACCUGGCCUACCUGGGCUCCCUGUUUGAUGUCGAUGUGGACGACACCACAGAGGAGCAGG